rnacentral:rRNA from 1 species
UACGUAGGGAGCAAGCGUUGUUCGGAUUUACUGGGCGUAAAGGGCGCGUAGGCGGCAAAUUAAGUCAGCUGUGAAAAUCUCCGAGCUUAACUCGGAACGGUCAGCUGAUACUGAUCUGCUAGAGUGCGGAAGGGGCAAUCGGAAUUCUUGGUGUAGCGGUGAAAUGCGUAGAUAUCAAGAGGAACACCUGAGGUGAAGACGGGUUGCUGGGCCGACACUGACGCUGAGUGCGCGAAAGCCAGGGGAGCAAACGGG